rnacentral:rRNA from 1 species
GGACAGACUAAUACCGCAUAGUCUUCGAUGACGGCAUCAGAUUUGAAGUAAAGAUUUAUCGGUAAUGGAUGGGGAUGCGUCUGAUUAGCUUGUUGGCGGGGUAACGGCCCACCAAGGCGACGAUCAGUAGGGGUUCUGAGAGGAAGGUCCCCCACAUUGGAACUGAGACACGGUCCAAACUCCUACGGGAGGCAGCAGCC